rnacentral:rRNA from 1 species
AUUGAACGCUGGCGGCAGGCCUAACACAUGCAAGUCGAACGGAGUGGCGGACGGGUGAGUAAUGUCUGGGAAACUGCCUGCUGGAGGGGGAUAACUACUGGAAACGGUAGCUAAUACCGCAUACUAUCAGAUGAGCCUAGGUCGGAUUAGCUAGUUGGUGGGGUAAAGGCCUACCAAGGCGGCGAUCCGUAACUGGUCUGAGAGGAUGAUCAGUCACACGGGAACUGAGACACGGUCCAGCCUCCUAGGGGAGGAAGCAGUGGGGAAGAGUGGACAAUGGGCGAAAGCCUGAUCCAGCCAUGCCGCGUGUGUGAAGAAGGUCUUCGGAUUGUAAAGCACUUUAAGUUGGGAGGCGUUACCAACAGAAUAAGCACCGGCUAACUUCGUGCCAGCCGCCGCGGUAAUAC